rnacentral:lncRNA from 1 species
GUUAUUUCAUUGAUAGUAUGUUAAAUUUGGCCUUACAAUGACAAUUCUCCGUAAAAUUUGGAGGCUGCCAAAUGCUAAACAAGAAAAGAAUUCAAGAUAGUAUUAUUUACUUCGAAUUCAUUAUCAAUAAAUGAAAAUAACUGUUCUCGUCAUGAAAAAUAUUGCACAGCUGUACAACACGCCGUAGUAAUGACUUUUGUGUAUGGAUUUCAACACCAGACCAGAUUCGGCUACCCUACGCG